rnacentral:rRNA from 1 species
GAUGAACGCUGGCGGCGUGCCUAAUACAUGCAAGUCGAGCGAACAGACGAGGAGCUUGCUCCUCUGACGUUAGCGGCGGACGGGUGAGUAACACGUGGAUAACCUACCUAUAAGACUGGGAUAACUUCGGGAAACCGGAGCUAAUACCGGAUAAUAUAUUGAACCGCAUGGUUCAAUAGUGAAAGACGGUUUUGCUGUCACUUAUAGAUGGAUCCGCGCCGCAUUAGCUAGUUGGUAAGGUAACGGCUUACCAAGGCAACGAUGCGUAGCCGACCUGAGAGGGUGAUCGGCCACACUGGAACUGAGACACGGUCCAGACUCCUACGGGAGGCAGCAGUAGGGAAUCUUCCGCAAUGGGCGAAAGCCUGACGGAGCAACGCAGCGUGAGUGAUGAAGGUCUUCGGAUAGUAAAACUCUGUUAUUAGGGAAGAACAAAUGUGUAAGUAACUAUGCACGUCUUGACGGUACCUAAUCAGAAAGCCACGGCUAACUACGUG